rnacentral:rRNA from 1 species
GACGAACCGUGCGAACGUUAUUCGGAAUCACUGGGCUUAAAGCGCGUGUAGGCGGGCGGGCACGUCGGCCGCUGAAAUCCCCCCGGCUCAACCGGGGAACGGGCGCCGAUACGACUCGUCUGGAGGGGGGUAGGGGGCGCUGGAACUCACGGUGGAGCGGUGAAAUGCGUUGAGAUCGUGAGGAACGCCCGCGGCGAAAGCGAGCGCCUGGACCCUUUCUGACGCUGAGACGCGAAAGCCAGGGGAGCGAACGGG